rnacentral:rRNA from 1 species
GCCAGAGGAGCCAAGCGUUGUCCGGACUGACUAGGCGUAAAGCGCACGCAGGCGGUGCGGUUAGUGGGGUGUGAAAGCGGUCGGCUCAACCGACCGAGGCCAUCUCAGACUGCCGCACUCGAGCGCUGCAGAGGGUGGUGGAAUUGCCGGUGUAGUGGUGAAAUGCGUAGAGAUCGGCAGGAACACCGAGGGGGAAGCCAGCCACCUGGGCAGCCGCUGACGCUCAAGUGCGAAAGCGUGGGGAGCGAACUGG